rnacentral:miRNA from 2 species
AAAGAGACCGGUUCACUGUGACAGUAAAAGAGACCGGUUCACUGUGAGAAUGAAAGAGACCGGUUCACUGUGAUCGGAAAAGAGACCGGUUCACUGUGAGCGGCCUUAAAGAGACCGGUUCACUGUGACAGUAAAAGAGACCGGUUCACUGUGAGAAUGAAAGAGACCGGUUCACUGUGAUCGGAAAAGAGACCGGUUCACUGUGAGCGGCCUUGAAACCCAGCAGACAAUGUAGCUCAGUAGAAACCCAGCAGACAAUGUAGCUGAAUGGAAACCCAGCAGACAAUGUAGCUUCGGAGAAACCCAGCAGACAAUGUAGCUGCGGCCUUGAAACCCAGCAGACAAUGUAGCUCAGUAGAAACCCAGCAGACAAUGUAGCUGAAUGGAAACCCAGCAGACAAUGUAGCUUCGGAGAAACCCAGCAGACAAUGUAGCU